AAUGAACGUUGGCGGCAUGGAUUAGGCAUGCAAGUCGGGGGAAUCCCAGCAAUGGGGGAACCGGCGUAAGGGGCAGUAAGGCAUGGGUACCUACCUUGGGGUUCGGGAUAGCCAUCAGAGAUGGUGGGUAAUACCGGAUGACGUCGUGAGACCAAAGAUUUAUCGCCCUUAGAGGGGCCCAUGUGAUAUUAGCUAGUUGGUGGGGUAACGGCCCACCAAGGCGAAGAUGUCUAGCGGGUGUGAGAGCACGACCCGCGCCACUCGCACUGAGACACUGGCGAGACACCUACGGGUGGCUGCAGUCGAGGAUCUUCGGCAAUGAGCGCAAGCUUGACCGAGCGAUGCCGCGUGAGCGAUGAAGGCCUUCGGGUUGUAAAGCUCUUUAGUGGGGGAGAAAAGCCGCAAGGUGUGAUCUAUCCCAAAAAUAAGCACGGGCUAAGUUCGUGCCAGCCGCCGCCGUAA
rnacentral:rRNA from 1 species